GACUUGUCCAGAGUGUCACAGGUCGUAAAUGUGGAUCUGGAUUGGAACCAUGGUCAAGACCUAAGAUGGAAGGUAGUUUCUACACCUAGGGGUUCUCAGUCUAGUGGGGAGAUGGACACCUGGGCACCUGACAUGACAACAUUUUAAGUGCUGUGGAAACUCGGGGCAGAGACUGCCCUGGGGAGGCAGGAGAGGUUUUCUUUAAGGUGGGAUCUUGAGGGAUAAGGAAUUCGCCAGGCUAAGUGGGUAAGAAAUGGCUUUCUACAUAUUUGAACGUUGUGUCUAGAGCUUUAGGCACAACUGUGAAAUGAUCAGAAGUUGGGCCAGAGGUGGAUCACGUUGAUUAGACUUAGAGGUUGGAAGGGUUAGUUAAGGCUGAAUUUCGAGGGGCUGGUCCUUUGAGGGGUUUGCUUUUUGGCCGUGGGCAAGAGGUGGCCACAGAGGGUUGUUCAAAGCAUGAGGGUGAUGGACCAGAUGUGCUUUUGGGAAGAUCUCCACAUAGCCCUAAAUGGUACUGAUAGGACUUGCUUUCUUCUGUUGCCCAGGCAAGGUGCUGACCAGUGUGGGGUAGAUCAUGUGAUUUAAAAGGUUGAUUAAGAACAAGAUUGUGUUGAGAGAGAUUUGAUUCCUGAGAGAUUCCAGUGUUCAGAAUUUUGUUGGUUAAGAGGUGUUUUUGCUUUCCUUCUUUUUUCUCCUAAAACAAUAGCUGCUAUACCAGCUGUUCUGGUUGAGGAGGAGUGAUGGGUAGACUGUUAAAAAUACACCCCGAGGACUUAGAGUUUCUGAAUACAGUCACAUCUGCUGUACAGAUAGCUUAAGGCUGAUUUUUCUUCUGAGUUGUUAAGAGAUUGUCAGAAUGUGGGAAUGCGAGGUUGACUGUAUGUAAUAGCUCUAUUUUUUUUUUUUUUCCAGCAGAUAAGCCAUUCACAAAAUUCUUCUGGUAUCUAUGGUACAUAAUAGAAAUAUCAAAAAUGGUAUGGGGUAGCAGUCUGAGUCUAAAAAGAAAAACAGAACUCACCUUAAGUAUUUAGAGCAGAAGGAAUGUAACGUAGGGGAGUGGUCACACAGGUGGUGGGAGUACUGAGAAUGCAGGCUGCAGUGAGGCAAGCCGGAGAUGAGGCAACAAGCAGGAAACCGCUGCCACCCCUAAGCUGGAGGGUGAAGGAAGGAGAUGGCAUUUCAGACUUCAGGGACAGCUGUCACCCACCAAAAAGUGGGGUCACAAGGGGUCCACUUGGCAGUGGCUGGAGGCUUGCAAGGGCACAGCUGCUGCUACAGAUGUACUGUUCCCCUUCUGCCUGGGAACCCUGUCCUGGCUGGGGUCACCUCCUCCACAACUUGGACUGGAGCAGAAGGACAAAGAAUGGAUCUGAGGACAAGCUGGCCCAGGACCAGAACUACCAUCAUCAAAGAGGGGAUGCUGACCAAACAGAACAAUUCCUUCCAGCGAUCAAAAAGGAGAUACUUUAAGCUUCGAGGGCGAACGCUUUACUAUGCCAAAACGGCAAAGUCAAUCAUAUUUGAUGAGGUGGAUCUGUCAGAUGCCAGCGUGGCUGAAUCCAGUACCAAAAACGUCAACAACAGUUUUACGGUCAUAACUCCAUGCAGGAAGCUCAUCUUGUGUGCUGAUAACAGAAAAGAAAUGGAAGAUUGGAUUGCAGCAUUAAAGACUGUGCAGAACAGGGAGCACUUUGAGCCCACCCAGUACAGCAUGGACCACUUCUCAGGGACGCACAAUUGGUACGCCUGUUCCCACGCGAGGCCGACCUACUGCAACGUGUGCCGUGAGGCUCUGUCUGGGGUCACGUCGCAUGGGCUGUCCUGCGAGGUGUGCAAAUUUAAGGCCCACAAGCGCUGUGCUGUGCGUGCAACAAAUAACUGCAAGUGGACCACGCUGGCCUCGAUCGGGAAGGACAUCAUUGAAGAUGCAGAUGGGAUCGCAAUGCCCCACCAGUGGUUGGAAGGAAACCUACCUGUGAGUGCCAAGUGCACUGUGUGCGACAAGACCUGUGGCAGCGUGCUGCGCCUGCAGGACUGGCGCUGCCUCUGGUGCAAGGCCAUGGUUCACACAUCGUGUAAAGAAUCCUUGCUGACCAAGUGCCCACUUGGCCUAUGCAAAGUGUCAGUCAUCCCACCCACGGCUCUCAACAGCAUCGACUCUGAUGGGUUCUGGAAGGCCAGCUGUCCUCCGUCUUGCACAAGCCCACUGUUGGUCUUCGUCAAUUCAAAAAGUGGGGACAACCAGGGUGUGAAGUUCCUCAGAAGAUUCAAACAGCUGCUAAAUCCCGCCCAGGUCUUCGACCUCAUGAACGGAGGCCCACACCUCGGCUUACGGUUAUUCCAGAAGUUUGACACGUUCCGGAUUCUGGUUUGUGGUGGGGAUGGAAGUGUUGGUUGGGUCCUCUCUGAAAUCGACAGCCUCAACCUUCAUAAACAGUGUCAGCUGGGAGUGCUGCCGCUCGGCACAGGGAACGACUUGGCCCGAGUGCUGGGCUGGGGCUCAGCCUGCGAUGAUGACACCCAGCUCCCCCAGAUCUUGGAGAAGUUGGAGAGAGCCAGCACCAAGAUGCUGGACAGGUGGAGCGUCAUGGCAUACGAGGCCAAGCUCCCCCGACAGGCCUCCUCCUCCACCGUCACCGAAGACUUCAGCGAGGAUUCCGAGGUACAGCAAAUUCUCUUCUAUGAAGACUCGGUUGCAGCCCACCUUUCUAAAAUCCUUACCUCGGACCAGCACUCGGUGGUCAUCUCCUCGGCCAAAGUGCUCUGUGAGACGGUGAAGGACUUCGUGGCCCGGGUGGGGAAGGCCUAUGAGAAGACGACCGAGAGCUCGGAGGAGUCAGAGGUCAUGGCCAAGAAGUGCUCUGUCCUGAAAGAGAAGCUGGAUUCCCUUCUCAAGACCUUGGACGAUGAGUCCCAGGCCUCGUCCUCUCUGCCCAACCCACCCCCGACCAUUGCUGAGGAGGCUGAAGAUGGAGAUGGGUCGGGCAGCGUCUGUGGCUCCACUGGGGACCGCUUGGUGGCAUCAGCCUGCCCGGCCCGGCCGCAGAUAUUCCGGCCUCGAGAACAGCUCAUGCUGAGAGCCAACAGCCUGAAGAAAGCGAUUCGUCAGAUCAUAGAACACACAGAAAAAGCCGCACACACUCUCCUUGUACAGCUGUCGAUGAGCAGAAUGCCCAGACCCAGGAGCAGGAGGGCUUCGUCCUGGGCCUCUCUGAGUCAGAGGAGAAGAUGGACCACAGAGUGUGCCCACCACUGUCCCACAGCGAGAGCUUCGGGGUCCCCAAGGGGAGGAGCCAGCGCAAAGGGCGAGGACCGCCUCCCUGAGGAGCACUUGCGUUCUGCCCUCACUGCUUCCUCAGAACCACCCUGGACCCCACAACUGCUCGGAAGGGGCUGUGUCUGGCAGAGGGAAGUGUUGAAAUCUCCGUGUGAAAAGCUGAUCAGCAAAGGAAGUCUGUCCCUGGGCAGUUCUGCUUCCCUUCCGCCCCAGCCGGGAAGCCGGGACGGCCUGCCUGCACUCAACACCAAGAUCCUGUACCCAAAUGUCCGGGCUGGAAUGUCUGGUUCCUUACCCGGUGGCUCAGUCAUCAGUCGCCUGUUAAUUAAUGCUGAUCCCUUUAACUCUGAACCAGAAACCCUAGAGUAUUACACGGAGAAAUGUGUCAUGAACAACUAUUUUGGCAUCGGCCUGGAUGCAAAGAUAUCCCUGGACUUUAAUAACAAGCGCGAUGAACACCCAGAGAAGUGCAGGAGCCGAACCAAGAACAUGAUGUGGUAUGGAGUUCUUGGAACCAAAGAGUUGCUGCACAGAACCUACAAGAACCUGGAACAAAAGGUCUUGCUGGAGUGUGACGGGCGACCCAUCCCACUCCCCAGUCUUCAGGGAAUUGCUGUCCUUAACAUUCCCAGCUAUGCUGGAGGAACCAACUUCUGGGGGGGAACCAAGGAAGAUGAUACUUUCACAGCUCCAUCAUUCGAUGACAAGAUUCUGGAGGUGGUCGCCGUGUUCGGCAGCAUGCAGAUGGCCGUCUCUCGAGUCAUCAGGCUGCAGCAUCAUCGGAUCGCCCAGUAUCCGAGAAAUAGCUCAGUCUCAUCGGGACAUGGAGCAGGAACUGGCCCACGCCGUCAAUGCCAGCUCCAAGUCGAUGGACCGGGUGUAUGGCAAGCCCAGAACCACAGAGGGGCUGAACUGCAGCUUUGUCCUGGAAAUGGUGAAUAACUUCAGAGCUCUGCGCAGUGAGACGGAGCUGCUGCUGUCUGGGAAGAUGGCCCUGCAGCUGGAUCCGCCGCAGAAGGAGCAGCUGGGGAGUGCUCUUACCGAGAUGGACCGACAGCUCAGGAGGCUGGCAGACACCCCCUGGCUCUGCCAGUCUGCAGAGCCCGGCGAUGAAGAGAGCGUGAUGCUGGAUCUUGCCAAGCGCAGUCGCAGUGGUAAAUUCCGCCUCGUGACCAAGUUUAAAAAGGAGAAAAACAACAAGAACAAAGAAGUUCACAGUAGCCUGGCAGCCCCGGUUCACCUCUGGGGGACAGAGGAGGUUGCUGCCUGGCUGGAGCACCUCAGUCUCUGUGAGUAUAAGGACAUCUUCAUGCGGCACGACAUCCGGGGCUCUGAGCUCCUGCACCUGGAGCGGAGGGACCUCAAGGACCUGGGCGUGACCAAGGUGGGCCACAUGAAGAGGAUCCUGUGUGGCAUCAAGGAACUGAGCCGCAGCGCUCCCGCCGCCGAGGCCUAGCCUCUGCCCUCUCAGCCUGCGGCCUCCACAUCCCCGCCGCUGAGGCCUAGCCUCCGCCCUCUCAGCCUGUGGGCUCUGCGCCUCCUGCCACUGAGGCCCUGGGCGGACGCUGCAGCCCACCCCCUUCUCAUGGUGCUACUUCCUCUGUCAGCUACAGAAAGCCUCCGUGACACCGUCCACCAGAGCUCUGGGGUCUCGAACAUAACAACACAGCUACCUUUGAAACAACACCUUCUCCAGCUCAGAGUCACCUGGAGCACAUGUGUUGCGGCCACUCAGUUCUUCCCUGCCUGUGUUGUGGGCCGGGGAAUCUAGCAGCGUUUGGCCUCCUGGGCACCCCUUGCCUGGCCACGUGCUUGGAUUGUCCCAGGGGCUCCUCUCCCUGUGUCCUUCUGUGGCCACACUGUGUGGCUCCGCCUCCUGGCCCCCGUCUGGUUCUCGGAAACGUGGCUGCGGCCCAGCAGCCUGCAGGAGCCCGUUUGUUGAUGCAGCUUUUGUUGUUGAACAAAAAUGAUGCUCUUUCCUGGUUUGAAAGUAGCACGGAUGUUUCCAGUCCUGUUGAUUGUAAUUUGAUGUGAAAAGAAAAAUUUCUCCUGCGUGAGCCAAGGCAGCGAGUGCUGUUUCCUAGGCGGGGAGCCCCUCACUGGGUGUCGCAGGGCCUGCGUUCCUCCCUCCUCCCUCCUCCCUCUCCCCUCUCCCCCUCCCCCACUGUGGCCUGGGGACGCCUGCCCUUCUGUCUCCAGAUGCUGUAGGCCUCAAGUUCAGCUUGGGGCUGUGAGUGAGACAGCUUGCCAGCUGCAUCCCCACAGACAGAGGAUGUGUGUCUACAUGAGUUCAGUGUUUCUGUGUGGGAAACGCUUCCUGGCUCUGGGAAACUCUCUGUCCAUUCUGUGGUUCCCCGGGAGCAUGGCCCUGGUGGGCAGGUGUGGUUUGACCUCUUCACGCCAUCUGGUGGCCUGGAGGCCAGAGGCUCUCCUAAGUAUCUCUACCCCUGCGGUGGCUUCUUGUCUCCUGCUACCGGGCCUGAUGUCGCUGGAGGUGCUGGCGGGGACUCUGAUUUGAUGGUCCGCACUGCUCCUGCCCUGCCUCUGUCCUGGCUCUGAACUAGCAGAUGAUGGUGCCAGAGGGCAGGGAGCUCACCUGGGGAGAGGGCUGUGCCCCGCAGGGGCAGUCUCCAGGUGGAGGACGCACCUGGUCCUCCAGGGCACUGACUUUGCCCUUUUUUCCCCUUGAUAGUUAUGGCUCGCAGGGGCUCGUAAAUAUCUUGAGAAGAGGUUUCUGUAACCCCUGCCCUGGUGUGAGGAGGAAAUGGCUCUGGCCUGGCUGCCUGGCUGUAGCUCCAUGCCCCAAAGAGAAGGACAGUGUUGGGAGUGUCUGCCGGCGCCGCCCCACUCCUUUAGUCAGCGUCACGCCAUCUGACAUGCAGAAGCUGGGCUGCACCUGUGGGGGAGGGCAUAGACGGGGCUGGCUCUGCGGCAGCCCUCAGUCCUGAGCAGGUGGCAGUGAACAGCGCUGGCCCAUCUCUCACAGCCCCUCUGUCUCCUCUGCAGUGCGCCUAGAUGGGCCCCUCCACGUGCCUUGGGGUGCUCCGCUUUCAUGGUCCUUCUGGACCAAGGCCCUUGGAGUGAGGAGGCUGAGCCAGGGCCUUGGGUUUCCCCAGUGCAGCCUCCUGUCCCUCCAUGCGGCGUGUGGGGGUUUUGGAUGAAAGACUCUCCCGUGCUCUGUUGGUGGACUUAGCUGCCUCCCUGGAGGUGACGUGGGUGGAAGGUGGUUGUGUGUCACCUUUUCCACCCGUGAUUGUUUUCCCCAGAACAUUUUAGAUGGGGUCGGCAGAGGGAGAAAUAAGCCAGCCAUGGCAGUCGCUUGGUUUCCCAGGUGGAACGGGCUAACACAGGAGAUGAUGGGAGCCUGUCCUGCAGUCCCUGCAUGACCACUGGCCCUGCUGACCUGGCAGUGUGGGCAUCCUGGGGCUCUUAGGGUCCCAGAACAAGCCCCAGGCAAGCUGGAACUCGGGUGAGGAGGGGACAUGAGGAUAAACAGCCGACCGUGGCUUCAAGGACAUCAGGGCCAUCCCAAGUCCUCAGUGUCCUACUCCUGGCAAGGAGUUGGGUUUGGAUCAAAAGUGUUUAAAAUUAAUAUGUUGUCAGUGAUUUUAACAACACUGUUUACAUAAAAACCAUUUUUUCUAAUUCUAACAAGUUAGAAGUGAGGAAGGAAUGAACACGCAUGUUUAGGAAACUGCCCUUUGGUGCUGGGCUGGUGUCCUGCACUGGGGUGUCGCUGCUGUCCGGGGGCUGCUCUGCUGCCCCGGCCCAGGUCGCCUUGUGGUGUUGCCAGACAGGCCUCACGGUCUGCUGUGCAGAGACAGGCAGGAAGGAUCCCUGAAGAGUCUUGGAGAAAAGGUUCUGUGCCCUCAGGUGGGGCUUCCCCCCUCGUAUUUAUAAUCUUAAUUUAUAUAGUGACCACCGUGGAAACAAAUGCCUCUUGUAUUGUUAUGUACAUAGUCCAUACCUGAGUGCUGUACAUAAGUUGGUCUGUGUAUAAAUAAAACAAGCCUGUUUUUGAUCUUCCAUCGCCA